CAGUCGCCGCGGUAAUACGAGGGGGGCAAGCGUUGUUCGGAAUUAUUGGGCGUAAAGGGUGCGUAGGCGGGUCUUUAAGUCAGGGGUGAAACCCUGGAGCUCAACUCCAGAACUGCCUUUGAUACUGAAGAUCUUGAGUUCGGGAGAGGUGAGUGGAACUGCGAGUGUAGAGGUGAAAUUCGUAGAUAUUCGCAAGAACACCAGUGGCGAAGGCGGCUCACUGGCCCGAUACUGACGCUGAGGCACGAAAGCGUGGGGAGCAAACAGGAUUAGAUACCCCUGUAGUCCCUGUCUCUUAUAC
rnacentral:rRNA from 1 species